rnacentral:rRNA from 1 species
AAUAGAUACCCAGGUAGUCCAUGCCGUAAACGAUGAGCGCUAGGUGUUGGGGACCUUCCGGUCCUCAGUGCCGCAGCAAACGCAUUAAGCGCUCCGCCUGGGGAGUACGACCGCAAGGUUGAAACUCAAAGGAAUUGACGGGGGCCCGCACAAGCGGUGGAGCAUGUGGCUUAAUUCGAAGCAACGCGAAGAACCUUACCAGGUCUUGACAUCCUGCGCUACACCUAGAGAUAGGUGGUUCCCUUCGGGGACGCAGAGACAGGUGGUGCAUGGCUGUCGUCAGCUCGUGUCGUGAGAUGUUGGGUUAAGUCCCGCAACGAGCGCAACCCUUGUCUUUAGUUGCCAUCAUUAAGUUGGGCACCCUAAAGAGACUGCCGGUGACAAACCGGAGGAAGGUGGGGAUGACGUCAAGUCAUCAUGCCCCUUAUGACCUGGGCUACACACGUGCUACAGUGGGCAGUACAACGAGAAGCAAAACCCGCGAGGGUAAGCGGAUCUCUUAAAGCUGUUCUCAGUUCGGA